UACGAAGGGGGCUAGCGUUGUUCGGAUUUACUGGGCGUAAAGCGCACGUAGGCGGAUCUUUAAGUCAGAGGUGAAAUCCCAAGGCUCAACCUUGGAACUGCCUUUGAUACUGGGGAUCUUGAGUCCGGGAGAGGUGAGUGGAACUGCGAGUGUAGAGGUGAAAUUCGUAGAUAUUCGCAAGAACACCAGUGGCGAAGGCGGCUCACUGGCCCGAUACUGACGCUCAUGUUCGAAAGCGUGGGGAGCAAACAGG
rnacentral:rRNA from 1 species